rnacentral:lncRNA from 1 species
GGGACUAGCAAUGUGUUGGUUUAGGGGAAUGAUUACUACUAAAAAAGAGGACAUUUUAAAUAAUAAUUCUCAUGAAUUUCAUACAUUUUGAGUAGUAAUUAUGCCUAACAUGCCCAAUUAAUACACUAUUGCCCUUGCAAGAGAUACUAAUGAUUUUAUGAAGUUUUGGAGCCAUUUUAAGGUGAUUUUUGAUGCAUUGAGUG